UACGUAGGGACCGAGCGUUGUCCGGAAUCAUUGGGCGUAAAGAGCGUGUAGGCGGCCACUUAAGUCCUGCGUGAAAUCUUGCGGCUCAACCGCAAGCGGUCGUGGGAAACUGGGUGGCUAGAGUGCGGGAGAGGAGAGUGGAAUUCCUGGUGUAGCGGUGGAAUGCGCAGAUAUCAGGAAAGAACACCCGUGGCGAAGGCGGCUCUCUGGAACGCAACUGACGCUGAGACGCGAAAGCGUGGGGAGCAAACAGG
rnacentral:rRNA from 1 species